rnacentral:rRNA from 1 species
AUUGAACGCUGGCGGCAUGCCUUACACAUGCAAGUCGAACGGUAACGGGCCUUCGGGUGCCGACGAGUGGCGAACGGGUGAGUAAUGCAUCGGAACGUACCUUUCAGUGGGGGAUAACGUAGCGAAAGUUACGCUAAUACCGCAUAUUCUGUGAGCAGGAGAGCAGGGGAUCGCAAGACCUUGCGCUGAUUGAGCGGCCGAUGUCAGAUUAGCUAGUUGGUGAGGUAAAGGCUCACCAAGGCGACGAUCUGUAGCGGGUCUGAGAGGAUGAUCCGCCACACUGGAACUGAGACACGGUCCAGACUCCUACGGGAGGCAGCAGUGGGGAAUUUUGGACAAUGGGGGCAACCCUGAUCCAGCCAUGCCGCGUGAGUGAAGAAGGCCUUCGGGUUGUAAAGCUCUUUCGGCCGGGAAGAAAUCGUAUGGGCUAAUACCCUGUGCGGAUGACGGUACCGGCAUAAGAAGCACCGGCUAACUACGUGCCAGCCGCCGCAGUAACAC